rnacentral:rRNA from 1 species
CUUUUGCGAGGUUCGAAAGCUCCAGCGGUGCAGGAUGAGCCCGCGUCCUAUCAGCUUGUUGGUGAGGUAAUGGCUCACCGGGGCUACGACCGGUAGCCGGCCUGAAAGGGCGACCGGCCACACUGGGACUGAGACACGGCCCAGACUCCUACGGGAGGCAACACUGGGGAAUAUUGCACAAUGGGCAAAAUCCUGAUGCGGCGACACCUCGUGAGGGAUGACGGCCUUCGGGUUGUAAACCUCUUUCAACAGGGAAGAAGCGUAGGUGACGGUACCUGCCUAGGAAGCGCCGGCCAACUACGUGCCAGCAGCCGCGGUAAUACGUACGGCGCAAGCGUUGUCCGGAAUUAUUGGGCGUACAGAGCUCGUAGGCGGCUUGUCACGUCGGUGGUGAAAGCCCGGGGCUUAACCCCGGGUCUGCUGUCGAUACGGGCACGCGAGAGUUCGGUAGGGGAGAUCGGAAUUCCGGGUGUAUCGGUGAAAUGCGCAGAUAUCAGGAUGAAACCGGUGGCGAAAGCGGAUCUCUGGGCCGAUGCUGACGCUUAGGAAAGAAGCGUGUGGAGCGAACAGGAUAGAUACCUGGUAACCACGCCGUAAACGGGGGCACUAUGUGUGGGCACCUUCCCGUUGCCGUGCCGCACUACGCAGUAAUUGCCCGCCCGGGGAGUCAGCCGCAGGCUAAACUCCAGGAGUGACGGGG